rnacentral:rRNA from 1 species
UUCCACCUCUUCCCAUUCCGAACAGAGAAGUUAAGCCCGUUAGCGCCGAUGGUACUGCAGAAAUGUGGGAGAGUAGGUCGACGCCAACC